GGCAUUUUCCCUAAAAGUUUUAUUAUAUUGGUAACUUUUAAUAUAAUAGAUAAAGUAAUAAAGGUUUCUUAUUUACUUAGUUUUGUCUACCGAUUUUCAAAUUCAAUGUGCCUAUUAAAAUUAGUUCGAAGCUAGGCAUUGUGGUGUAUACCUUUAAUCCCAGCACUCAGGAAGCAGAAGAGCUGGGUCUCUGUGACUUUGAGGCAACCAGGGCUACACAGAGAGAC